CGAAAGGCUUGUUUUACUUGUGAAAGAAAAUCCCAAUACUCAGUUGGCACGAUCUCUGAGAAAAAAAGCGUAAGCUGCUUUAAGCUUUGUAAAUCCCGUCGUAGUUACUACAAAAAUUUUAUUGCAAGAGAUUUGGAAAUCAAAAACAGAUUGGGAUGAAAAGCCGUCACAGGAAAUAAUGAACACUUGGGUGAAAAUAAAAGGCAAGCUUCCAUUGUUAAAUAAAAUAAGAACACCCAGGCGAAUUCUGUGUAAUGAACCGGCAAAUAUUGAGCUACACGGAUUUUGCGACGUUUCAAUGAAAGCAUAUGGAGCAGUAGUUUAUGCAAGAUCCGAAAAUAAAACAGAUUCCACAAUACUAUUUAAUUGGUUAGAGCUUGAUAAUGGACGGCAUUUGAGGCAUAUCUGUUCAAAGGACAAUCCGGCCGACAUAAUUUCUAGGGGAGUAUCACCUAGUGAGCUCAUCAACAACAACUUGUAGCUUAGACAACCGGCAAUGCCGAAUACAUCUAUCUAUAAAAUGCAACAAAAGUAGAGCAGCUGUGAUGGGGUCUGAAUCCGGAUUGAAAUGGGGAUAUAAGGUUGAAUUUACCGAUGUGGGAAGAGGUUUGUUCAGAUAACAAAGAUUCGAAAACUUUAGACAAGGCUGGUAGUAUGCUGAUGGGUCGGAAAUCACUAGGGCUGGAUGCGGAUUUAUUUUUGGCUACAGGAAGCACAGUAGCAAUCUUCCGAGCAUCGGGAAAACAGGACGUGGUGAGACUAUGGUUCAUUAUGUGUGUCAGGGUUGGCAAAAUAAUCGGUAAAAUUACCUUCACAAAUCUAAUCGGAAUGCCAUCCUCCCCGAUUGCGUUGGACCUGAUCUUAAAAACAGAUUUCACCACAUCAAUCUCGCUCACAGCAAUGAACUCAAACUUUUCGCCAGCAAAAGAGACUGGACAGGAGGCUACAGAAUUGGUCGUAAGGGGACAAGAUGAAGGCGGAGAAGCAAAGGCAACGCUAAGCGUUUCAGGACUCAACGAGCAUUCUGAUUUCUCACUGGCAUGGACGCGGAGUGUUCUCAGAUUUCGCCACAAUACAUUAUUAGGCAGUGAGGGAUCCAGCUUAUUCAUAAAGAAUUUUUUCUUUUCACGUCUUAUAACCGAGGUAGCUUCAUUCCUUA
rnacentral:misc_RNA from 1 species